CGCCUGUUUAUCAAAAACAUCGCCUCUUGUCCCCAAAAUAUAAGAGGUCCCGCCUGCCCUGUGACUAUAUGUUUAACGGCCGCGGUAUCUUAACCGUGCGAAGGUAGCGUAAUCACUUGUCUUUUAAAUGAAGACCUGUAUGAAUGGCAUCACGAGGGCUUAACUGUCUCCCCUCUCCAGUCAAUGAAAUUGACCUCCCCGUGCAGAGGCGGGGAUAUUUCUAUAAGACGAGAAGACCCUGUGGAGCUUUAGACCUAAAGUAAACCACGUUUAAUGUACUAAAAUUAAUAGCAAAAACUUAGUGGACAUUUAUUUAAGUGUCUUUGGUUGGGGCGACCGCGGAGUAAAACACAACCUCCAUGUGGACGGGGAUACUUUCCCUAAAACUCAGAGCCUCCACUCCAAGCAACAGAAAUUCUGACCUUACUGAUCCGGUACAACCGAUUAACGAACCCAGUUACCCCAGGGAUAACAGCGCAAUCCCCUCUCAGAGCUCAUAUCGACGAGGGGGUUUACGACCUCGAUGUUGGAUCAGGACAUCCUAGUGGUGCAGCCGCUAUUGAGGGUUCGUUUGUUCAACGAUUAAAGUCCUACGUGAUCUGAGUUCAGACCGG
rnacentral:rRNA from 1 species